rnacentral:rRNA from 1 species
UACGGGGGGGGCAAGCGUUGUUCGGAAUUACUGGGCGUAAAGGGUGCGUAGGUGGCGGGGUUAGUCAGGUGUGAAAUCUCGGAGCUCAACUCCGAAACUGCACUUGAUACUGCCUUGCUAGAGUACUGGAGAGGAGAUUGGAAUUUACGGUGUAGCAGUGAAAUGCGUAGAUAUCGUAAGGAAGACCAGUGGCGAAGGCGAAUCUCUGGACAGUUACUGACACUGAGGCACGAAGGCCAGGGGAGCAAACGGG